rnacentral:lncRNA from 1 species
UCCCAUCCGUAUCCUGUGCCCGACCCUCCUCCGCAUCCUGACUGCUCUGCAACCUUUACAUAAGGGGCUUACUACUGUAUUUGCUGCAGCGUGUGUCUUCUUGCGCAAAAAGCUAUAAGGUGCAAAUGCUGUGAACAAGGUAAUAAGAGAACAUGUAUACACCACAACAGGUCAUGCUUACAUACAAGAUGUGGAUCUUGCA